rnacentral:rRNA from 1 species
UAAAUAUUUAUUUAAUAUAUAUUUUUAUUAAUUCAUGAAUUAUUUCCUUUUUUAGAAAUAACUUUUUUCUUAGUAUAUUUUAUAGAAUAGAUAUAUUUUUUUUAUAGUUUAGUUGUUCUGUAAAGAAUAAUUAUUUAAUUUUUUGUAAGUAGAGUUUAUUUCUUGUACCUUUUGUAUCAGGGUUUAUCAAUUUUUAAAAUUUAUUUAUUUUCUUUCCCGAAAUUAAAAGUGAUAUUUUGAUUUGUUGGUUAUUGUAAUAUAAUUAUCAAUAAAGUUGAGAUAGGGAUUAUAUGUUAUUCAAUUUUAAAUAUCUGGUUUCUAAAUAAAUGGAUUCAAUCCAGGAUUACUUUGUUUUGGUAUUAAUAUAACUUUAUUUUAAUUACUUAUACAGUAGAUCCAAAAUUAUAGGGGAUUAGCUCUGUAAUUGUAUUAUAACUUUUAUUUAUUUAUUGAUUUUUGUAGGUUUAGAAGCGGCCAUCAUUUAUUUCGUUAUAGUUAAUAUUAAUUAUAAAAUUUAUUUAUUUACAGGUUUAAAUAUUUAUUUAGAUAUUUGUGUUAAAUAAGAUAGCAUAAGUAAUAAUGAUAGAAUUAGUAUAAAUUGAUUUAUUGAAUAUAUAGUAAUUCGGCAAAAUUAGUGUUCACCUGUUUAACAAAAACAUGGCUUAUUGGGUAUUUAUAUUAAGUCAGGCCUGCUCAAUGAUUAUUACUUAAAUAUUAAAUAGCCGCAGUAUUUUGACUGUGCGAAGGUAGCAUAAUCAUUUGUCUUUUAAUUGUAGGCUUGUAUGAAUGGUUUGAUGAGGCUCUAUCUUUCUUUAUAUCAUAAUUUUUAAUUUAAUGUUUGAGUUAAAAGGCUUAAAUUUUUUCAUAGGACGAGAAGACCCUAUAGAAUUUUAUUGUUUAUUAUUUCAUUGAUUUUUGGUUAAUUUUAAUUAUUAAUGAUUUAUAAGACAGUUUUGUUGGGGUGAUAGGGAAAUUUUUGUAACUUUCUUUCUUUAGUUUAUUAUUAAUUGAUAUUUAUAAUGAUCCUAUAUUAAGGAUAAUAAGAUUAAAUUACCUUAGGGAUAACAGCGUAAUUUCAUUGGAGAGUUCUUAUCGAUAGUGAGGUUUGCGACCUCGAUGUUGGAUUAAAAUGUGUAUUGAGUGCAGAAGCUUAAUUACUAGGUCUGUUCGACCUUUAAUAUUUUACAUGAUCUGAGUUCAGACCGGCGUGAGCCAGGUUGGUUUCUAUCCUUGAAUUAUAAAAUUUAUUUACUUUAGUACGAAAGGACCAAGUAAAUUAUAAAUUAUAUAAAUAGUUGCUUCUCUUUAAAUAUUAU